rnacentral:tRNA from 1 species
UGGGUUGUGACUCAGUGGUAGAGUGCUUGCCUAGCAUGUGUGAGGCCCUGGGUUCAAUCCUCAGCACCACAC